GAUGAACGCUGACAGAAUGCUUAACACAUGCAAGUCAACUUGAACUUCGGUUUGGGUGGCGGACGGGUGAGUAACGCGUAAAGAACUUGCCUCACAGCUAGGGACAACAUUUGGAAACGAAUGCUAAUACCUGAUAUUAUGAUUUUAGGGUAUCCUAGAAUUAUGAAAGCUAUAUGCGCUGUGAGAGAGCUUUGCGUCCCAUUAGCUAGUUGGAGAGGUAACGGCUCACCAAGGCGAUGAUGGGUAGCCGGCCUGAGAGGGUGAACGGCCACAAGGGGACUGAGACACGGCCCUUACUCCUACGGGAGGCAGCAGUGGGGAAUAUUGGACAAUGGACCAAGAGUCUGAUCCAGCAAUUCUGUGUGCACGAUGAAGUUUUUCGGAAUGUAAAGUGCUUUCAGUUGGGAAGAAAAAAAUGACGGUACCAACAGAAGAAGUGACGGCUAAAUACGUG
rnacentral:rRNA from 1 species